rnacentral:lncRNA from 1 species
CUGAAACUGGCCAUGGUGGAAGUAUCUGCACAACGGGAACGGGCACCUGAUGUAUGUCCCUUCAGGCAGGGAUUUCUGUCUGACUGGCUCACUGCUGUCUCCCGGGUACCUGGGAAGGGCCUGGCUUCGACUAGGUGCCCAGUAACGAUCUAUUGACUGUAUGAAAGAAUGAAUGAGUUCCCUUUUUACGGAGGAGGAGGAAAUUGACGCUCCAAGAAAUGAGCAGAUCACACGGCAAAUAAAUGGUAGAGGUGGGACUGGUGUUUAGGCUGGAACCUGGGAAGUGCUGGACGGGUCUUUCUAGGUGGCUCACAAGGUGAGUUGCCUUCGAGGUGCAGGAGAAGAAAAAAAUUCUUUUUCUCUCUACUUGUCUCAGAUUCGUUGGCUGGGGCCCUGUGAAUAGACCAAGAAAAACCGGAUUAACAAGAGAAAAACAAACAGAAGUUUGUUGACAUGUACAUCAAGCACACACAUGGGACCACCCAGUGCUGAGUACCUCAAAGCGGGGUUAGAAUGCGGGCUUACAUAGCAUCUCGGCAAAAGACGAAUACAUUGCUUGAGAAGUGACCUGACAAAGGAAAAGGACUUUUGUUUCUAGGCUGGCAAGUUGUGGGAAGGAAAAAAUUAUCCCCAGGUGGCUUGGAUGACCCACCGGGUUUUGGAACCACCACCGUCAUCCAUGACACCAGCCCAGUCAAGUGCAAUGUCAGCCUUGAGUUUGUGAAGACCCCAGGUUACCCAGAAGUUAUUUGUGAGGUGAAGAGACAACAAGAAGAUCUGCAAACCAGGCGGAGGGCUCUUGCCAGACACCAGAUCUGCCGGCACCUUCAUCUUGGACUUCCCAGCCCCCAGAACAGCCUCCAGAAUGUUUGUGGUUUAAGCCUCUCAGUCUGUGAUUGUAUCAAAAUAACAAAUUAUAGCAGCCCAAAGAAUGAAGAGAGCCUCUGACAGACCAGCACCUACUGGUUUGCUUAUUUCCUGUCUGCCUGCCCUCCUGGAAUCAAGAGGGCGGCGCCUUCGUGUGUAGCACCUGGAACAGUGCCUGGCACAUGGGGCACACCCAAUCGACGUGGACGAAGGGAUGAAUCCUUCAUACCCGGCACCAUGCUGGAUGCUGGGGAUGUGAGCAAGCGAGGUACGGUCCCUGCAGUUGGGAACCCGCAGGGCUGGCGUGGAAGCUGCAUGAGGCGGAUGUGGGUGUGAAGGCUCAGAAGGGUAGUAGCUAGCCCAGAGUCACGUAGCUAGACAGGUGUGAGAGCUGGAAGUGAGACGCAGCACCCUCAGAGCUCACGCUCCUGACAAUUAUGGUAUGUCACCUUUCUGUGGCAUUCAUCUCAGAUGUUUUGAACCUCAAAUAUUUG